UACGUAGGGGGCAAGCGUUAUCCGGAUUCAUUGGGCGUAAAGAGCUCGUAGGCGGCCCGUUAGGUCAGGAGUCAAAUUCGGGGGCUCAACCCCCGCGCGCUUCUGAUACCGGCGGGCUUGAGUUUGGUAGGGGAAGGUGGAAUUCCCAGUGUAGCGGUGGAAUGCGCAGAUAUUGGGAAGAACACCGGUGGCGAAGGCGGCCUUCUGGGCCAUAACUGACGCUGAGGAGCGAAAGCUAGGGGAGCGAACAGGAUUAGAUACCCUGGUAGUCCUAGCCGUAAACGAUGGACACUAGGUGUGGGCGAAUGUUUCGUCCGCGCCGCAGCCAACGCAUUAAGUGUCCCGCCUGGGGAGUACGGCCGCAAGGCUAAA
rnacentral:rRNA from 1 species